AUUAAACGCUGGCGGCAUGCCUUACACAUGCAAGUCGAACGGUAGCGCGGGGCAACCUGGCGACGAGUGGCGAACGGGUGAGUAAAGCAUCGGAACGUGCCCUGGAAUGGGGGAUAACGUAGCGAAAGUUACGCUAAUACCGCAUAUUCUGUGAGCAGGAAAGCAGGGGAUCGCAAGACCUUGCGUUCUGGGAGCGGCCGAUGUCGGAUUAGCUAGUUGGUGGGGUAAAAGCCUACCAAGGCGACGAUCCGUAGCGGGUCUGAGAGGAUGAUCCGCCACACUGGGACUGAGACACGGCCCAGACCUCCGUACGGGAGGCAGCAGGGUAGGGGUAAGUUUUGGAACAAGUGGGGACGGAACGCC
rnacentral:rRNA from 1 species